rnacentral:tRNA from 1 species
GCACCUCUAGCCCAACGGCAGAGGCAACGGAUUUAGGUUCCGUUCAGUGCAGGUUCGAAUCCUGCGAGGUGCACAA